UAAGCGGAGGNAAAGNAACUAACAAGGAUUCCCCUAGUAACUGCGAGUGAAGAGGGAAGAGCUCAAAUUUAAAAUCUGGCUGUUCUUGUAGCAGUCCGAGUUGUAGUUUAGAGAAGUGAUAUCCGCGCUGGCCUGUGCAUAAGUUUCUUGGAAAAGAACAUCAUAGAGGGUGACGAUCCCGUCUUUGGCACAGAUUACCGGGGCUUUUGUGAUACGCUCUCGACGAGUCGUGUUGUUUGGGAAUGCAGCACUAAAUGGGUGGUAAAUUCCAUCUAAAGCUAAAUAUUGGCGAGAGACCGAUAGCGAACAAGUACCGUGAGGGAAAGAUGAAAAGAACUUUGAAAAGAGAGUUAAACAGUACGUGAAAUUGUUGAAAGGGAAACGCUUGAAGUCAGUCGUGUCUGCUAGGGAUCAAGUUGCCUCUGGGUGACCGCACUUUCUAGUCGGAUGGGUCAGCAUCAAUUUUGAUCGUUGGAUAAAAGCCUAGGGAAUGUGGCAUCUUCGGAUGUGUUAUAGACCUGGGUUGGAUACAAUGGUUGGGAUUGAGGAACUCAGUGUGCCUUCAUGGUUGGGGCUUCGGCUCACACUUGCACGCUUAGGAUGCUGGCAUAAUGGCUUUAAUCGACC
rnacentral:rRNA from 1 species